AUUUUGGACAAUGGGGGAAACCCUGAUCCAGCCAUCCCGCGUGUAUGAUGAAGGCAUUCGGUUUGUAAAGUACUUUUGGCAGAGACGCAAUGGUAUCUCCUAAUACGAGAUACUGCUGACGGUAUCUGAAGAAUAAGCACCGGCUAACUACGUGCUAGCAGCCGCGGUAAUACGUAGGGUGCAAGCGUUAAUCGGAAUUACGUGGCGCAAAGCGUGUGUAGGCGGUUCGGAAAGAAAGAUGUGAAAUCCCAGGGCUCAACCUUGGAACUGCAUUUUUAACUGCCGAGCUAGAGUAUGUCAGAGGGGGGUAGAAUUCCACGUGUAGCAGUGAAAUGCGUAGAUAUGUGGAGGAAUACCGAUGGCGAAGGCAGCCCCCUGGGAUAAUACUGACGCUCAGACACGAAAGCGUGGGGAGCAAACA
rnacentral:rRNA from 1 species